rnacentral:tRNA from 1 species
GCGGGUGUUGCAAAAGGGUAUUGCCGCAGACUUCCAAUCUGCUGUUACGGGUUCGACUCCCGUCGCCCGCUCCU